rnacentral:rRNA from 1 species
UACGGAGGAGGCAAGCGUUAUCCGGAAUGAUUGGGCGUAAAGCGUCCGCAGGUGGCAGUUCAAGUCUGCUGCCAAAGACUGGGGCUUAACUCCGGAAAGGCAGUGGAAACUGAACAGCUAGAGUAUGGUAGGGGCAGAGGGAAUUCCCGGUGUAGCGGUGAAAUGCGUAGAGAUCGGGAAGAACACCAGCGGCGAAGGCGGCUACCUGGAUAGGCACUGACGCUGAGGCGCGAAAGCGUGGGUAGCGAACAGG